rnacentral:rRNA from 1 species
GACGAACGCUGGCGGCGUGUUUAACACAUGCAAGUCGAACGAUGAAGCCGGAGCUUGCUCUGGUGAAUUAGUGGCGAACGGGUGAGUAACACGUGAGUAACCUGCCCUUGACUCUGGGAUAACUGCGGGAAACUGUAGCUAAUACCGGAUACGACCCUCGGAGGCAUCUCCUGGGGGUGGAAAGAAUUUCGGUCAAGGAUGGACUCGCGGCCUAUCAGCUAGUUGGUGAGGUAAAGGCUCACCAAGGCGACGACGGGUAGCCGGCCUGAGAGGGUGACCGGCAACACGGGGACUGAGACACGGCCCAGACUCCUACGGGAGGCAGCAGUGGGGAAUAUUGCACAAUGGGCGCAAGCCUGAUGCAGCAACGCCGCGUGAGGGAUGACGGCCUUCGGGUUGUAAACCUCUUUUAGCAGGGAAGAAGCGAAAGUGACGGUACCUGCAGAAAAAGCACCGGCUAACUACGUGCCAGCAGCCGCGGUAA